rnacentral:rRNA from 1 species
AUUUUAGUGGCGGACGGGUGAGUAACGCGUGAGGAUCUGCCUAUAGGUUGGGGACAACAGAUGGAAACGUCUGCUAAUACCCAAUGUGCCGAGAGGUGAAAGCUUUAGUGCCUGUAGAUGAGCUCGCGUCCGAUUAGCUAGUUGGUAGGGUAAAGGCUUACCAAGGCGACGAUCAGUAGCUGGUCUGAGAGGAUGAUCAGCCACACUGGGACUGAGACACGGCCCAGACUCCUACGGGAGGCAGCAGUGGGGAAUUUUCCGCAAUGGGCGCAAGCCUGACGGAGCAAGACCGCGUGCGGGAGGAAGGUCUAUUGAUUGUAAACCGCUUUUGAUAGGGAAGAAGAUCUGACGGUACCUAUCGAAUCAGCAUCGGCUAACUCCGUGCCAGCAGCCGCGGUAAUACGGGGGAUGCAAGCGUUAUCCGGAAUUAUUGGGCGUAAAGCGUCCGUAGGUGGUUUUAAAAGUCUGUUGUCAAAUCGCGAGGCUUAACCUCGUACAGGCAGUGGAAACUAUAAGACUAGAGUGCGGUAGGGGUAGAGGGAAUUUCCAGUGUAGCGGUGAAAUGCGUAGAUAUUGGAAAGAACACCGGUGGCGAAGGCGCUCUACUGGGCCUGCACUGACACUGAGGGACGAAAGCUAGGGGAGCGAAAGGGAUUAGAUACCCCUGUAGUCCUAGCCGUAAACGAUGNNAACUAGGUGUUGCCCGUAUCGACCCGAGCCGUGCCGAA